rnacentral:lncRNA from 1 species
AGGCUUGGGUCCACUUGUCAUCGAAAUUACCUCCGUUGGGAAUUUCAUCGAUCUGUUGAGUCCAAAAUGUUGUUUCUAUUAAGGCAACAUAUUUCAUUUGCAUUCACCAAAUUUCGAAUGAAUUCUGAAGGGUCGUUUGGAUAAAAUUCCAAUUUGGAAAUUUUCUUAGUGUAGCUUAUGCUGAUCCAGCCAUUUUUGCAGAGGCGGCUGCUGUCAUCUCCUUUCGCUUAAAUGGAACCUCCUCCAAUAUUGCGGAGCUACAUAGGUGGGCAAACCUCCACUUUUGUGGAGGCACGAGUGAACGCUGACCUUUGCUUUUGCCGAAGGUCAGUUGCUUAAGCGACACCGUUUUUGCGGCUUGACCUCCACUUAAGCGGUGGUAGUAGUAUAUAAGCUGCCACUUCAUUCCUCUCAUCAUUUUCACUCGAAUUUAGCACCAUUGUUGCGGUU